rnacentral:rRNA from 1 species
GACGAACGCUGGCGGCGUGCUUAACACAUGCAAGUCGAACGGAAAGGCCCUGCUUUUGUGGGGUGCUCGAGUGGCGAACGGGUGAGUAACACGUGAGUAACCUGCCCUUGACUUUGGGAUAACUUCAGGAAACUGGGGCUAAUACCGGAUAGGAGCUCCUGCUGCAUGGUGGGGGUUGGAAAGUUUCGGCGGUUGGGGAUGGACUCGCGGCUUAUCAGCUUGUUGGUGGGGUAGUGGCUUACCAAGGCUUGGACGGGUAGCCGGCCUGGGAGGGUGACCGGCCACCUUGGGACUGAGGUACGGCCCAGACUCCUACUGGAGGCAGCAGUGCGGAAUAUUGCACAAUGGGCGGAAGCCUGAUGCAGCAACGCCGCGUGCUGGAUGACGGCCUUCGGGUUGUAAACCGCUUUCGCCUGUGACGAAGCGUGAGUGACGGUAAUGGGUAAAGAAGCACCGGCUAACUACGUG